CGCGGCCUAUCAGCUUGUUGGUGAGGUAACGGCUCACCAAGGCAUCGACGGGUAGCUGGUCUGAGAGGAUGAUCAGCCACACUGGGACUGAGACACGGCCCAGACUCCUACGGGAGGCAGCAGUAGGGAAUCUUGCACAAUGGGCGAAAGCCUGAUGCAGCGACGCCGCGUGGGGGAUGAAGGCCUUCGGGUUGUAAACCCCUUCCAGUAGGGACGAAAAUGACGGUACCUACAGAAGAAGGUGCGGCCAACUACGUGCCAGCAGCCGCGGUGACACGUAGGCACCAAGCGUUGUCCGGAUUUAUUGGGCGUAAAGAGCUCGUAGGCGGUUCAGUUAGUCGGGUGUGAAAACUCUGGGCUCAACCCAGAGACGCCACCCGAUACUGCUGUGACUAGAGUACGGUAGGGGAGUGGGGAAUUCCUGGUGUAGCGGUGAAAUGCGCAGAUAUCAGGAGGAACACCAGUGGCGAAGGCGCCACUCUGGGCCGUAACUGGCGCUGAGGAGCGAAAGCAUGGGUAGCAAACAGGAUUAGAUACCCUGGUAGUCCAUGCCGUAAACGUUGGGCACUAGGUGUGGGUCUCAACCAACGAGAUCCGCGCCGUCGCUAACGCAUUAAGUGCCCCGCCUGGGGAGUACGG
rnacentral:rRNA from 1 species